rnacentral:rRNA from 1 species
AGCUCCAAUAGCGUAUAUUAAAGUUGCUGCAGUUAAAAAGCUCGUAGUUGCAUUUCCGAGGCAAGGGAUUAGUCCGACCUUUGGUGGGUAUUUAAUCCUCUUGCCUCGUCCUUGAGUGGUGCUUCUUGGUAUUAAGUUAUCGAGGAGAUAGCCGCUCAUCGUUUACUGUGAGAAAAUUAGAGUGUUCAAAGCAGGCUUAUGCCGUUGAAUAUAUUAGCAUGGAAUAAUAAGAUAGGACCUCGGUACUAUUUUGUGGGUUUGAGAACCAAGGUAAUGAUGAAUAGGGACAGUUGGGAGUAUUCGUAUUCAGUUGUCAGAGGUGAAAUUCUUAGAUUUACGGAAGACGAACUACUGCGAAAGCAUUUACCAAGGAUGUUUUCA